GCCAGACUCCUACGGGAGGCAGCAGUGGGGAAUAUUGCACAAUGGGGGAAACCCUGAUGCAGCGACGCCGCGUGAGUGAAGAAGUAUUUCGGUAUGUAAAGCUCUAUCAGCAGGGAAGAAAAUGACGGUACCUGACUAAGAAGCCCCGGCUAACUACGUGCCAGCAGCCGCGGUAAUACGUAGGGGGCAAGCGUUAUCCGGAUUUACUGGGUGUAAAGGGAGCGUAGACGGCAGCGCAAGUCUGAAGUGAAAUCCCAUGACUUAACCAUGGAACUGCUUUGGAAACUGUGCAGCUGGAGUGCAGGAGAGGUAAGCGGAAUUCCUAGUGUAGCGGUGAAAUGCGUAGAUAUUAGGAGGAACACCAGUGGCGAAGGCGGCUUGCUGGACUGUAACUGACGUUGAGGCUCGAAAGCGUGGGGAGCAAACAGGAUUAGAUACCCGCGUA
rnacentral:rRNA from 1 species